GCUGCUGUUAAAAAGCUCGUAGUUGGAUCAAGAGCUCGACAGUGCACGGUGGCCCUGUUUAUCAUGGUGGUUCCGAUCACCGUGGUGGCAGCGGAUCAACCCCGUGCGCCAAACUGUCGACUCUAACAGACCGAAACGGUUCCCUGUGAGUAGGCUCCUUCAUUGGGGUUGAAAGCGAUUACGCAUCAACCAUAUGCAUACGGGACGUCGGUCAAAGUUACUGUGAACAAACCAGCGUGUCCAAAACAGGCUUUCGCCUGAAUGUUCGAGCAUGGAAUAACAAGGGAUCGAUUCUCUCGGUUCUUUUUGUUGGGUUUAACCCGAGAAGGAGUAAUUCAGGCCACGGUGUCUGAGUUGGGUCCCCCUUCACCUCGGUGGAGGCCCCAAUUAGGCCAUGUCCUUACGGCAUAAAUAGGGACUGACGGGGUCGUACGUACUUCUACGUCAGAGGUGAAAUUCUUA
rnacentral:rRNA from 1 species